AUGGAACUGAUGAUUAUUUCCCCAGAUGAUCGAAGGUGAACAUACUGUGCGAAUUUGUUUCUCUUUGGAGAAAUCAAGCCUAAUAGUCUGAUCCAU